UACGGAGGGUGCAAGCGUUAUCCGGAUUCACUGGGUUUAAAGAGCUCGUAGGCGGUGCGUCGCGUCGGCCGUGAAAACCUGCAGCUUAACUGUGGGCUUGCGGUCGAUACGGGCAUCACUGGAGUUCGGCAGGGGAGACUGGAAUUCCUGGUGUAGCGGUGAAAUGCGCAGAUAUCAGGAGGAACACCGGUGGCGAAGGCGGAUCUCUGGGCCAUUACUGACGCUGAGGAGCGAAAGCGUGGGGAGCGAACAGG
rnacentral:rRNA from 1 species